rnacentral:rRNA from 1 species
AUUGAACGCUGGCGGCAGGCUUAACACAUGCAAGUCGAGCGGAGAUGAGGUGCUUGCACCUUAUCUUAGCGGCGGACGGGUGAGUAAUGCUUAGGAAUCUGCCUAUUAGUGGGGGACAACAUUCCGAAAGGAAUGCUAAUACCGCAUACGUCCUACGGGAGAAAGCAGGGGAUCUUCGGACCUUGCGCUAAUAGAUGAGCCUAAGUCGGAUUAGCUAGUUGGUGGGGUAAAGGCCUACCAAGGCGACGAUCUGUAGCGGGUCUGAGAGGAUGAUCCGACUAGCGGGGAGUGAGACGCGGCCCAGACUCCUAAGGGAGGGAGCAGUGGGGGAUAUUGGACAAUGGGGGGAACCCUGAUACAGCCAUGCCGCGUGUGUGAAGAAGGCCUUAGGGUUGUAAAGCACUUUAAGCGAGGAGGAGGCUACUGAGACUAAUACUCUUGGAUAGUGGACGUUACUCGCAGAAUAAGCACCGGCUAACUCUGUGCCAGCCGCCGCCGUAA